rnacentral:rRNA from 1 species
CACCAGCCCCUCGAGUGGUGGGGAUGAUUAUUUGGCCUAAAGCGUCCGUAGCCGGCCGGGUAAGUUUCCCGUUAAAUCCAGCGUCUCAAGCGUUGGACUGCGGGAAAUAACUGCCUGGCUAGAGAGUGGGAGAGGUCAGCGGUAUUCUGGGGGUAGGGGCGAAAUCCUUUGAUCCCCGGAGGACCACCAGUGGCGAAGGCUGCUGACUAGAACACGUCUGACGGUCAGGGACGAAAGCUGGGGUAGCGAACCGGAUUAGAUACCCGGGUAGUCCCAGCCGUAAACGAUGCAUGCUAGGUGUUGGGUUGGCCACGAGCCACCCCAGUGCCGCAGGGAAGCCGUUAAGCAUGCCGCCUGGGAAGUACGAUCGCAAGAUUGAAACUUAAAGGAAUUGGCGGGGAGCACCACCAGGCGUGAAGCCUGCGGUUU